GUUUACAGGACAGAGACUCCGCCCUCUUAUAUUUCACACCAAUCAUCCGGUCUAGAUCCUGGAGGCCAUCAAUGUGCCAGUCAUUUUCCUCAUUCGGAUGCGAUGUCACGAAUCACACAAUUCCAGCUGUCGUGCGUUGUGAAGAUGCUGCUGGGCUGAGGGAUUUUGGCUUUAACCUUCAUGAGGAUUUUGGACCGUCUAGAAAUGAUGAUAUCCAUGACGCCACUUCGUUUUAAGACAGCAUAUCCGAAUACAGACCACCAACCUAUUAUAUCCCAUGUACGUCUCGUGUGCUCCGUUGAAGUGAACCUCACGCUACUGCUCCGUGUCUCCUCCUCAUAGCGCAGGCUGCUUUCACUGGCAAUGCAACGCAGAGCCUCCGCAAUCUAGCGCGUGCGCUCAGCUGACCAAUAGCAGAGCGUGCAGCACGCUGUCUGUGCUUUUACGCUUACGCACGAAGAGGACACGCACACGCGGGAACACAUUGCUUCAUUAUAGCUUUUAAUUUAGUUCUUCAGCCAGUUCUGGACAGUGGCUCAAGUCUUUACAGUGUACAGUAUUUGACAUUGCACUUUGUAAUGUAAAAUACAGUCCCUUG